rnacentral:lncRNA from 1 species
AAAGGCUUCCCUAAGGAAGUGAUGAGAUUAGCAGGGAGAGCAAGAGUCAAUGAGGCAAAGAGAUUGGGGUUGAGGGGCUGCGUGAUCCUGGAGGAUGGGAACUGUGUCUUUUCAUUCUGCUUCCCACCAUAUGAUAGUGAAUGAAAGACAGGAUGUGCUGGGGACUCAUAUGAGAAGAGGAGGUUGAGAUCUCUGCAGCAGACAUUCCCAAACCUGGUGGAGAAUCAGAACCAGAAAUAGGGUCUCAUAGGACAAUGUUUCAGUACAACCUCAAACUUCUUGGCUCAAGCGAUCCUCUCGCCUCAGCCCCCCUAGUAGCUGGGACUAUGGGCACACCACCAUGUGUAGCUGGGACUACAGGCACACCACCACGCCUGGCUAAUUAAUUUUUUUUUUUUUUUUUUUGUAGAGAUAGGGUCUUGCUCUGUUGCUCAGGCUGAUCUCGAACUCCUGGGCUCAAGCAAGCCUCCUGCCUCAGCCUUCCAAAGUGUUGGGAUUACAGGCGUGAGUCACUGCACCUGGCCUUGUAACGAUCUAAUUUCUUGUACGGUUUAUUUAUUAGG